rnacentral:rRNA from 1 species
UACGUAGGCAGCAAGCGUUGUUCGGAGUUACUGGGCGUAAAGGGUGUGUAGGCGGUUGUUUAAGUUUGGUGUGAAAUCUCCCGGCUCAACUGGGAGGGUGCGCCGAAUACUGAAUGACUCGAGUGCGGGAGAGGAAAGUGGAAUUCCUGGCGUAGCGGUGAAAUGCGUAGAUAUCAGGAGGAACACCGGUGGUGUAGACGGCUUUCUGGACCGUAACUGACGCUGAGACACGAAAGCGUGGGUAGCAAACAGG